rnacentral:rRNA from 1 species
CUUUGGGGAGCUGUAAGUAAGCUUUGAUCCAGAGAUUUCCGAAUGGGGAAACCCAGCAUGAGUUAUGUCAUGUUAUCGAUAUGUGAAUACAUAGCAUAUCAGAAGGCACACCCGGAGAACUGAAACAUCUUAGUACCCGGAGGAAGAGAAAGAAAAUUCGAUUCCCUUAGUAGCGGCGAGCGAAACGGGAAGAGCCCAAACCAACAAGCUUGCUUGUUGGGGUUGUAGGACACUCUAUACGGAGUUACAAAGGACGACAUUAGACGAAUCAUCUGGAAAGAUGAAUCAAAGAAGGUAAUAAUCCUGUAGUCGAAAAUGUUGUCUCUCUUGAGUGGAUCCUGAGUACGACGGAGC